UAAUACCGGAUAGAUCAAAGAAACUGGAAUGUUCUCUGGUCUAAAACUCUGGUGCCCAAGGAUGGGUCUGCGGCCUAUCAGGUAGUAGUGGGUGUAACGUACCUACUAGCCUACGACGGGUAAGGGUUGUGAGAGCAAGAGCCCUGAGAUGGAUUCUGAGACAUGAAUCCAGGCCCUACGGGGUGCAGCAGGCGCGAAAACUUUACACUGCGGGAAACCGCGAUAAGGGGACCCCGAGUGCCAGCACCUAGUGCUGGCUGUCCAGCUGUCCAAAUAACAGUUGUUAGCAAGGGCCGGGCAAGACCGGUGCCAGCCGCCGCGGUAACACCGGCGGCCCGAGUGGUAGCCGUUAUUAUUGGGUUUAAAGGGUCCGUAGCCGGCCUAUUAAGUCUCUUGGGAAAUCUGGCGACUUAAUCGUCAGGCGUCC
rnacentral:rRNA from 1 species